rnacentral:rRNA from 1 species
AACGAACGCUGGCGGCAUGCCUAACAGAUGCAAGUCGAACGAGACCUUCGGGUCUAGUGGCGCACGGGUGCGUAACGCGUGGGAACCUGCCCUUAGGUUCGGAAUAACUCCCCGAAAGGGGUGCUAAUACCGGAUAAUGUCUUCGGACCAAAGAUUUAUCGCCUUUGGAUGGGCCCGCGUUGGAUUAGCUAGUUGGUAGGGUAAAAGCCUACCAAGGCGACGAUCCAUAGCUGGUCUGAGAGGAUGAUCAGCCACACUGGGACUGAGACACGGCCCAGACUCCUACGGGAGGCAGCAGUGGGGAAUAUUGGACAAUGGGCGAAAGCCUGAUCCAGCAAUGCCGCGUGAGUGAUGAAGGCCUUAGGGUUGUAAAGCUCUUUUACCCGGGAUGAUAAUGACAGUACCGGGAGAAUAAGCUCCGGCUAACUCCGUG